GAUGAACGCUGGCGGCGUGCCUAAUACAUGCAAGUCGAGCGAACAGAUGAGGAGUUUGCUCCCCUGACGUUAGCGGCGGUCGGGUGAGUAACAUGUGGAUAACCUACCUAUCAGACUGGGAUACCUUUGCGAAAUCGGAGCUACUAACGGAUAAUAUAUUGAACUGGAUGGUUCCCUCGUGAAAGUCGGUUUUGCUGUCACUUAUAGAUUGACCCGCGCCGCAUUAGCUAGUUGGUAAGGUAACGGCUUACCAAGGCAACGAUGCGUAGCCGACCUGAGAGGGUGGUCGGCCACACGGGAACUGAGACACAGUCCAGACUCCGACGGGAGGCAGCAGUAGGGAAUCUUCCGCAAGGGGCGAAAGCCGGACGGAGCAACGCCGCGGAAGGGAUGAAGGUCUUCGGAUCGUAGAGCUCUGUAAGUAGGGAGGAAGAAAAGUGUAAUUAACCAGGCACGUCUUGACGGUACCGAAACAAAAAGCCACGGCUAACUACGUG
rnacentral:rRNA from 1 species